rnacentral:rRNA from 1 species
AGAGUUUGAUCAUGGCUCAGAACGAACGCUGGCGGCAGGCUUAACACAUGCAAGUCGAACGCCCCGCAAGGGGAGUGGCGCACGGGUGAGUAACGCGUGGAUAUCUGCCUUUUGGUUCGGAAUAACCCCGGGAAACUGGGGCUAAUACCGAAUGGUUCCUACGGGAUAAAGAUUUAUCGCCAAAAGAUGAGUCCGCGUCCGAUUAGCUAGUUGGUGAGGUAACGGCUCACCAAGGCGACGAUCGGUAGCUGGUCUGAGAGGACGAUCAGCCACACUGGGACUGAGACACGGCCCAGACUCCUACGGGAGGCAGCAGUGGGGAAUAUUGGACAAUGGGGGCAACCCUGAUCCAGCCAUGCCGCGUGAGUGAUGAAGGCCUUCGGGUUGUAAAGCUCUUUUGGCGGGGACGAUGAUGACGGUACCCGCAGAAUAAGCCCCGGCUAACUUCGUGCCAGCAGCCGCGGUAAGACGAAGGGGGCUAGCGUUGUUCGGAAUUACUGGGCGUAAAGCGCGUGUAGGCGGUUGUUCAAGUUGGAUGUGAAAGCCUUGAGCUCAACUCAAGAAUUGCAUUCAGGACUGAAUGACUAGAGGACCGGAGAGGAUAGUGGAAUUCCCAGUGUAGUGGUGAAAUACGUAGAGAUUGGGAAGAACACCAGUGGCGAAGGCGGCUAUCUGGACGGUUUCUGACGCUAAGACGCGAAAGCGUGGGGAGCAAACAGGAUUAGAUACCCUAGUAGUCC